AAGUCUCAAUUGCUUAAUCUAUAAAAUGGAGUACUAAGAAAUUCUAACUUGCCUAGUGGCUAAGAGAAUUUAGUAAGAUCAGAGUUAAUAAAGUGCCACUUGGUAGUAUUAUCAUUUGUUUUCAAGAAGGAUAAAUAAUAGCAGGGAAUAUAUUUUCUAACACGAAUGACAAUUUCUUUUUAAUUAUCUGAAAGGUAAACUGGACAUAGAAAUCACAUAUGUGAGGUACAUUUUAUGAAGAAAACUGAAAAUAAGCUCAUCUAUCAGCCAUUCAAAUCUGGAAGCCUAACUGUCAUAUAUUCAAGAAUGAAAGGCAACUCCUUCUAUUUUUGAAAGCCACAAAUGAAUAAACUCGCUCUCUACAAAGUUUUGAAAUGGAAUUUCCAAAUAUGCACAAGAUCUUUUUUCAAACCAGUGUCUAGCAUGGAAUUGUUAUCAAAAAAUUUGUAACAAUAAGGACUUUUUUUUUUCCUUACUGGAAGGAUCUUGUCUCUGGUAAGUUAGCUUGGAUUUAAGUUUGUACUAAAUUGGCAAGCAUUGAUAUUUCUUUAUAAAAGUUCUUGUAUGUGUGCAUUUUUACCCCCAAAUGAAUUUGCAUGCCUUGAAACAAAAUCCCUCGCAUUUAUUUAUGAUAAAACUCUCUUGAGUUAAUUAUAGCAUUUCAGAUGUGGAAAGUGUGUGCACACUGCUUACUGACAGGUUGACUAGUGAAACUGAACACUGAAAUUACUCUAAUGAGCAGAAAGAAUACUCAAGAUAAAUGAUUGGAUGCCGGAACUUUCUAAAUUUUCUUGAAAAAGUCAAAGGGUGCCAAACCUGGGGAAACCUGUGAAAGAAGUGAUUAUCACUAUUUGUAUAGAACAACACACACACACACACACACACACACACACACACACACAAGAUAAUAUAGAUCUGUGCUGUCCAGUAAGUAGUCAGUAGCCAUACACAGUUAUUUAAACUUGAAUUAAUGAAAAUUUAAUUUAAAUAUAAAUUUCUUACCUGCACAAACAAAAUUGUAAGUGCUAAGUAGCCUCAUGUGGUUAGGGCUGCCAUAUUUGACAGUGCUAAUCAGUAAUAGUUCCACUAUCACAGAAAUCUCUAUUGAACAACAGUAAUAUAGAAACAUUUGAACACUCUUUAAGCCAGGAAUCUCCUCCCCAA
rnacentral:lncRNA from 1 species